rnacentral:rRNA from 1 species
UCUUGGUCAAUUUAGAGGAAGUAAAAGUCGUAACAAGGUUUCCGUAGGUGAACCUGCGGAAGGAUSAUUAUUGAAAUAAACCUGAUGGGUUGCUGCUGGCUCUCUAGGGAGCAUGUGCACACUUGUCAUCUUUAUAUCUCCACCUGUGCACCUUUUGUAGAUCUGGAUAAUCUUUCUGAAUGCCUGGCAUUCAGGUUUGAGGAUUGACUUUUUGUCUUUCCUUACAUUUCCAGGCCUAUGUUUUCUUCAUAUACCCCAUUUAUGUUAUAGAAUGUAAUGAAAAAGGCCUUUGUGCCUACAAACCUUAUACAACUUUCAGCAACGGAUCUCUUGGCUCUCGCAUCGAUGAAGAACGCAGCGAAAUGCGAUAAGUAAUGUGAAUUGCAGAAUUCAGUGAAUCAUCGAAUCUUUGAACGCACCUUGCGCUCCUUGGUAUUCCGAGGAGCAUGCCUGUUUGAGUGUCAUUAAUAUAUCAACCUCCUCAGGUUUUUGACUUGUCGAGUGUUUGGAUGUGGGGGUCUUUUGCUGGUCUCUUUUGAGGUCGGCUCCCCUAAAAUGCAUUAGCGGAACAAUUUGUUGACCCGUUCAUUGGUGUGAUAACUAUCUACGCUUUUGAGGUGAAACAGGUUCAGCUUCUAACAGUCCAUUGAUUUGGACAAAUUUUCAUUAAUGUGACCUCAAAUCAGGUAGGACUACCCGCUGAACUUAAGCAUAUCAAUAAGCGGAGGAAAAGAAACUAACAAGGAUUCCCCUAGUAACUGCGAGUGAAGCGGGAAAAGCUCAAAUUUAAAAUCUGGCAGUCUUUGGCUGUCCGAGUUGUAAUCUAGAGAAGUGUUAUCCGCGCUGGACCGUGUACAAGUCUCCUGGAAUGGAGCGUCAUAGAGGGNGAGAAUCCA